rnacentral:lncRNA from 1 species
UCAUUACCCAAACUAAAGAUCUGCAAAUCGGUUCCUAUUAGAUACUCCAGUAGUCUCGAUCCUCUUGCAUUGAUGUUGAAGUUUCCCCAGCAUAUGUGGUGAGCGUUGAUAUCACAUCCUGCUGUCACCCCCAUACGUUUACUUUUGGCAUAUUGGGUAGCUCUGAUGAAUGUUCCACUGGGAACUGCUGCUGCUUCAUAGGGGAAAUGUGCAUAGUAUCUCCCUGUUGACUUUUUAUGGUUAGUUUAGCCGAUAUGGUGUCGCCAUCACAUAGGUCGUUAACCAAAUUAGCCUGGAGGUCUUUUGAGACUACCAUGCAGGAGCGGGGUCGAUCACUUCCAUUAGCAUACAGCAAGUCAGCAUAUUAGAAGUUUAAGCCUCUGACUACCCCACCAACCCACGGUUCUUGUAUGAGGUAUAUAAAUGUCUUCCAGCUAUUGUUCCGACGAGUGAUAAGUGCAGUCGCUGCUUUAUAAUGCUGCAAAUUUAGUUGGAAAAUGUGGCACCUCAUCUACGCUUCAGAUGAAGAUGGCGAGUGCUGUACGUCCCCACCACUAUUCCGCUCUUCUUCGGGAAGCCAGAGGAGGCACUUUUCUAACCCUUUUCAGGGUUAGUCGCGCAACCUCCCACACAUCGUUGAAGGAGGAGCAGUAGUACUGCCUGAACCACUUGUUUGUGUCUUCGCCGGGAAAGUUUAACCGUAACAUUUUACGGUAUACACCUACCGACCCAAAGCGAGAAUGCAGUCCUUCCAGCUAGGAGGAGUUUCCUCCUAAGCUGUUCACACUGCUCAGUAUCGUAACCGGAUGGAUUAGAGUCAUCAUACAAGACCCACCCAUCGGCUUCGAUAGCCUUGAUUGCAAGUCGACUGGCUCUCAAAUCACCAUCUAACGUAUCAAGCAUCGUUGUUUCGGUCGGCCUUUGGGUUGUUUCCUGUCAACUUCGAUCUUCAGACCAAUCUUAGCUAGUGAGUUCUCGUCAAAUUGCAUAACCACGCCAACAAAAACCCCUCUCUGGUUUUUUCCCAAUAGUGGAAUCCUAUAUCGAUAGCGGAUGUUCCCAUUUCAAAUGUAACCACAGCGUGUUACGUGAUUAGCCCGACGUAACAUCUUCAUCUUUAUUACCGCGGGGCGGCGGUCAUUGUCCUUGAUAGUUGGCCAGCAGAACUAUUGAGGGCGACAUGACACUGUGGCAAAUUUUAGAUUUGAGAUUUGCUCCGAUGUGUGAAGCAAUUUAAUAAUUCAGUUCAAUGGUAAACUGAUAACAUUGAUUCUGGGCAAGUUGUUAUCACUGACAGUGAUAACGCCUGCUUUAUUGGGGUUUUAAUUUCGAUAAAAAAAACUUAUGAAACUUUUGAUUGUGCAUGAAGUUCGGCAUUUUCCUUUAAAAAUUGUAGUAUUGGCUGUAACUUUCUAUAAUUAUUUUUAUUAAGUUGCAAAGUGAAUAGCGGAAAAAUCAUUGCAUGUGCUUAAUUGUUUUAAAAUCAUUCAACAUAAAAGCAGCCACAGAUAUUUUAGCCAGCUACCCACUUAGAUUUCCAGUAUGAAAAAAAAAUAAAAAAAAGAAAAGUAUUUAUCGUAGCCGAAAAAAAUCAAAUGGAUCUUGUAAAACAUAAAAAAAAACUGUACAUACAGAAACUAAAUAUAUGACGAUAAACAUAAAACAUGAUCAAUCAAAGUACAAAGGAAACUUCUGCCAGAAUGAACCAUAAAAUUAUGAAAAAAAAAGAAAAUAAAAAUAAUAUAAAAAGCAAAAACAAUAAAGGAGAAAUAUAAAGGAAAAAUUUCAUUUCAAUCCAUAAAACUGAUAGAUUUAUGUGAAACGUGUUCUCCUACUGAUUUGAAACCACUAAGCAACUCAGUAAUUUCAUUCAUAUCUCAUCAUUGUUGUCACCAACUUAAUUUGCAAUCCAUCAAUAGCGCCGAGUCGCAUAAAUAUUUCUAUUCAAUAUUUUGAUUGGACAAACGCAAAAGGGUUAAGUGAAACAAAUCGUAUUCUAAUAUAAACCUACCAAUCAUUUUGAAGAUGCAUUGAAUUUAGUUGUAAUUAAUUAUGUAAGUACUCGGUAAAUGUGGAUACAGACAUUUGAAGGAGAUGGAGAAAAUUGAAUAUGUAACAGGACAAUUUAGUUCGCCAUUAAGACGGGUGGAAACUAUUAUGUAAAUAUAAAUAAAAGUAAAUACACAUGUAAUAAU